AACGAACGCUGGCGGCAUGCCUAACACAUGCAAGUCGAACGCCCUCUUCGGAGGGAGUGGCGCACGGGUGCGUAACGCGUGGGAACCUGCCCUUAGGUUCGGAAUAACUCAGAGAAAUUUGAGCUAAUACCGGAUAAUGUCUUCGGACCAAAGAUUUAUCGCCUUUGGAUGGGCCCGCGUUGGAUUAGCUAGUUGGUGGGGUAAAGGCCUACCAAGGCGACGAUCCAUAGCUGGUCUGAGAGGAUGAUCAGCCACACUGGGACUGAGACACGGCCCAGACUCCUACGGGAGGCAGCAGUGGGGAAUAUUGGACAAUGGGCGAAAGCCUGAUCCAGCAAUGCCGCGUGAGUGAUGAAGGCCUUAGGGUUGUAAAGCUCUUUUACUGGGGAUGAUAAUGACAGUAACCCAGAGAAUAAGCUCCGGCUAACUCCGUGCCAGCAGCCGCGGUAAU
rnacentral:rRNA from 1 species